UGCUGCUCAGUCAACGCUGACACCACUUUGUCAGACACAUUCACACAACCACUAAGAUUAACCUUCACCAAACCUGCAUCAUAAUUCUCAAGCAAUGGAGUAAACCCAGCAUCAGUUACACCCUUGAGUCCACUCAAUUCCACAUACUGCAACUGAGGACAGAACUUUCCCAUAAGAGCCAAGCUUCCAUCGCCAAAACCUGGGCAGUUACGGACGCACAAUGAACGUAGGGAUUUGCAAGGAGAAAACUGAGGUAAUUUCAGAUUCAAGUCUCUAAUUCCCAAGCAGUUCACCAUAGCAAGAGCCUUCAAUUGUGCACCACAGUUCAAAAGGGAACCAAAACAACCAAGCUGGGUAAUCCUGUGGCACUCCUCCAACUGCAGGCUCUCCAGCGACUUCGCAGCUCUCACAAACAAUACCAGUCCAUUGUCAGAUAGGAAUGCACACUUGCGGAGGCAGAACUGCUUUAAAUUUGGGCAACCCUUCCCCAUAGCUUCCAGCCCAGUAUCCGUCAGUCCUCGGCAAGAUGUAACUGUAAAGGACUUCAGCUUCUGUAAGCCAUGGCCAUUACCCAUGACCCAAAAGCCCUUCUCA
rnacentral:misc_RNA from 1 species